rnacentral:rRNA from 1 species
UACGAAGGGGGCUAGCGUUGCUCGGAAUCACCGGGCGUAAAGGGUGCGUAGGCGGGUCUUUUAAGUCAGGGGUGAAAUCCUGGAGCUCAACUCCAGAACUGCCCUUGAUACUGAGGAUCUUGAGUUCGGGAGAGGUGAGUGGAACUGCGAGUGUAGAGGUGAAAUUCGUAGAUAUUCGCAAGAACACCAGUGGCGAAGGCGGCUCACUGGCCCGAUACUGACGCUGAGGCACGAAAGCGUGGGGAGCAAACAGGG